rnacentral:rRNA from 1 species
CACGUAGGGGGCGAGCGUUGUCCGGAUUUAUUGGGCGUAAAGAGCUCGUAGGCGGCUCAGUAAGUCAGGUGUGAAAACUCCAGGCUCAACCUGGAGACGCCACCUGAUACUGCUUGGCUAGAGUCCGGAAGAGGAGAGUGGAAUUCCUGGUGUAGCGGUGGAAUGCGCAGAUAUCAGGAGGAACAUCCGUGGCGAAGGCGGCUCUCUGGGACGGUACUGACGCUGAGACGCGAAAGCGUGGGGAGCGAACAGG